UCCUUCCGACCCAUAUUACUUGU
rnacentral:miRNA from 1 species